rnacentral:rRNA from 1 species
UACGGGAGAUGCAAGCGUUGUUCGGAAUCACUGGGCUUAAAGCGCGUGUAGGCGGCUUGGUAAGUACUUUGUGAAAUCCCUCGGCUCAACCGAGGACCUGCAAGGUAUACUGCCGAGCUUGAGGCAGGUAGGGGUCACUGGAACUCUAGGUGGAGCGGUGAAAUGCGUAGAUAUCUAGAGGAACGCCCGUGGCGAAAGCGGGUGACUGGGCCUGCCCUGACGCUGAGACGCGAAAGCGUGGGUAGCAAACGGG